rnacentral:rRNA from 1 species
CACUUACAGAUGGACCCGCGGCGCAUUAGCUAGUUGGUGGGGUAAUGGCUCACCAAGGCGACGAUGCGUAGCCGACCUGAGAGGGUGAUCGGCCACACUGGGACUGAGACACGGCCCAGACUCCUACGGGAGGCAGCAGUAGGGAAUCUUCCGCAAUGGACGAAAGUCUGACGGAGCAACGCCGCGUGAGUGAUGAAGGUUUUCGGAUCGUAAAGCUCUGUUGUUAGGGAAGAACAAGUGCGAGAGUAACUGCUCGCACCUUGACGGUACCUAACCAGAAAGCCACGGCUAACUACGUGCCAGCAGCCGCGGUAAUACGUAGGUGGCAAGCGUUGUCCGGAAUUAUUGGGCGUAAAGGGCUCGCAGGCGGUUUCUUAAGUCUGAUGUGAAAGCCCCCGGCUCAACCGGGGAGGGUCAUUGGAAACUGGGAAACUUGAGUGCAGAAGAGGAGAGUGGAAUUCCACGUGUAGCGGUGAAAUGCGUAGAGAUGUGGAGGAACACCAGUGGCGAUGGCGACUCUCUGGUCUGUAACUGACGCUGAGGAGCGAAAGCGUGGGGAGCGAACAGGAUUAGAUACCCUGGUAGUCCACGCCGUAAACGAUGAGUGCUAAGUGUUAGGGGGUUUCCGCCCCUUAGUGCUGCAGCUAACGCAUUAAGCACUCCGCCUGGGGAGUACGGUCGCAAGACUGAAACUCAAAGGAAUUGACGGGGGCCCGCACAAGCGGUGGAGCAUGUGGUUUAAUUCGAAGCAACGCGAAGAACCUUACCAGGUCUUGACAUCCUCUGACAACCCUAGAGAUAGGGCUUUCCCUUCGGGGACAGAGUGACAGGUGGUGCAUGGUUGUCGUCAGCUCGUGUCGUGAGAUGUUGGGUUAAGUCCCGCAACGAGCGCAACCCUUGAUCUUAGUUGCCAGCAUUUAGUUGGGCACUCUAAGGUGACUGCCGGUGACAAACCGGAGGAAGGUG